GAGACCAACCAACACAGGGAAAGAUACAGACCAAUAAACACAGGGGAAAGAUAGGAACAACAAACCACAGGGGAAAGAUAGAGACCACCAAACACAGGGGAAGAUAGAGAGACCACAAACAAGGGGAAAGAGAGACCAAUAAACACAGGGGAAAGAUAGAGACCAACAAACACAGGGGAAAGCUGAAGAGACUAACAAACACAGGGGAAAGAUAGAGACCAAUAAACACAGGGGAAAGAUAGAGACCAACAAACACAGGGGAAAGAUAGAGACCAACAAACACAGGGGAAAGCUGGAGAGACCAACACACACAGGGGAAAGAUAGAGACCAAAAACAAGGGGAAAGAUAGAGAACCAAUAACACAGGGAAAGC
ensembl:lncRNA